AGUCGAACGCGAAAGUCCCUUUCGGGGGACGAGUAGAGUGGCGCCCGGGUUGAGUAACACGUAGGUAAUCUACCUUCGGGUGGGGAAUAACGCAGGGAAACUUGCGCUAAUACCGCAUAAUGCAGCGGCACCACAUGGUGACAGUUGUUAAAGCGGGGGAUUUUCGAACCUCGCGCCUGAAGAGGAGCCUGCGGCAGAUUAGCUAGUUGGUAGGGUAACGGCUUACCAAGGCGACGAUCUGUAGCCGGCCUGAGAGGGCGGUCGGCCACACUGACACUGACAUACGGGUCAGACUCCUACGGGAGGCAGCAGUCGGGAAUUUUGGGCAAUGGGCGAAAGCCUGACCCAGCAACGCCGCGUGAAGGAUGAAAUCCUUCGGGAUGUAAACUUCGCAAGAAUAGGAAGAAUGAGCGAGCGCUAACACCGUUCGUGAUGACGGUACUAUUUGUAAGCUCCGGCUAACUCCGUGCCAGCAGCCGCGGUAAUACGGGGGGAGCAAGCGUUGUUCGGAUUUACUGGGCGUAAAGGGCGCGUAGGCGGUCAGCACAAGUCAGUUGUGAAAUCUCCGGGCUUAACUCGGAAAGGUCAACUGAUACUGUGCGACUAGAGUGCAGAAGGGGCAACUGGAAUUCUCGGUGUAGCGGUGAAAUGCGUAGAUAUCGAGAGGAACACCUGCGGCGAAGGCGGGUUGCUGGGCUGACACUGACGCUGAUGCGCGAAAGCCAGGGGAGCGAACGGGAUUAGAUACCCCGGUAGUCCUGGCCUUAAACGAUGGAUGCUUGGUGUCUGGAGUUUUAUAGUCUCCGGGUGCCGUAGCUAACGCGUUAAGCAUCCCGCCUGGGGAGUACGGUCGCAAGACUGAAACUCAAAGGAAUUGACGGGGACCCGCACAAGCGGUGGA
rnacentral:rRNA from 1 species